CGGGGGCGGGGCGCGCGCCCGGACUUCGCAACUUCGCCGUCUGGGGCUUCGCAGCUUCGAGCUCGGAUCUCGGGAGUUUGGACACCCCCCAAAGCCCCCUUCUUCCUCCGGUGGCGGCGACGGAAUUUGGCAGUUGCCACAGGUGGCCACAGGCAGGCACCAGGAUCCUGGACAUUAGGAGCCACCACCGCCCUCUCUGUUGCCUGAAGUCCUGCCCUGUCCCCAUCUCUCCUCUGCUCCCUGCCCUCCACCUGCUGCCCUGGGCCCAACCCGCCUGCUGCCGGAUCCUGGCAUGUCAAGGCCUGGCCUGCUCCUGCCUGCCCAGCCCGCG
rnacentral:lncRNA from 1 species